GGGGGAUAACUAUUGGAAACGAUAGCUAAUACCGCAUAACAGUAGAUGUUGCAUGACAUUUGCUUAAAAGGUGCAAUUGCAUCACUACCAGAUGGACCUGCGUUGUAUUAGCUAGUUGGUGGGGUAACGGCUCACCAAGGCGACGAUACAUAGCCGACCUGAGAGGGUGAUCGGCCACACUGGGACUGAGACACGGCCCAGACUCCUACGGGAGGCAGCAGUAGGGAAUCUUCGGCAAUGGACGGAAGUCUGACCGAGCAACGCCGCGUGAGUGAAGAAGGUUUUCGGAUCGUAAAGCUCUGUUGUAAGAGAAGAACGAGUGUGAGAGUGGAAAGUUCACACUGUGACGGUAUCUUACCAGAAAGGGACGGCUAACUACGUGCCAGCAGCCGCGGUAAUACGUAGGUCCCGAGCGUUGUCCGGAUUUAUUGGGCGUAAAGCGAGCGCAGGCGGUUAGAUAAGUCUGAAGUUAAAGGCUGUGGCUUAACCAUAGUACGCUUUGGAACUGUUUAACUUGAGUGCAAGAGGGGAGAGUGGAAUUCCAUGUGUAGCGGUGAAAUGCGUAGAUAUAUGGAGGAACACCCGGUGGCGAAAGCGGCUCUCUG
rnacentral:rRNA from 1 species